AGGACGAACGCUGGCGGCGUGCUUAACACAUGCAAGUCGAGCGGAAAGGCCCUUCGGGGUACUCGAGCGGCGAACGGGUGAGUAACACGUGAGUAAUCUGCCCCUAGCUCUGGGAUAGCUCCGGGAAACCGGGAUUAAUACCGGAUAUUACACCGGCUGACAUCGGCUGGUGUGGAAAGAUUUAUCGGCUAAGGAUGGACUCGCGGCCUAUCAGCUUGUUGGUGGGGUAGUGGCCUACCAAGGCGACGACGGGUA
rnacentral:rRNA from 1 species